GUCCAAGAUGAUGAUACUCCUACCCUGUCAACUACUCUCUUGUGAUUACCAUUUGCAUGGGAUAUCUUUUUCAUUCCUUCACUUUCAGCCUAUGUGUGUUCUUAAAUCUAAAGGACCUCAGCAACCUCAUUUCCACAGAGUUCUAGGGACUGCAUUGCCUCUGCACUCACUGAGAAGUUCACAUUCCCUAAAACAAGGAAUAUUGAAAACAUGAGUAUCCAUUUUGAUAGUCCAACCACCUUUAAGGACUACACCUUAAACUUACAAUUGGCCAGAAUAGAAAAUAAUGGUA